AGUAACACGUAGGUGACCUGCCCUGAAGUGGGGGGACAACACCUCGAAAGAGGUGCUAAUACCGCAUGUGACCACCGAUUCGUUUCGGUGCUCAAAGUCGCAAGACGCUUUAGGAGGGGCCUGCGGCGGAUUAGCUAGUUGGUGGGGUAAUGGCCUACCAAGGCUUCGAUCCGUAGCUGGUCUGAGAGGAUGGCCAGCCAGACUGGGACUGAGACGCGGCCCAG
rnacentral:rRNA from 1 species